UACGUAGGGAGCAAGCGUUAUCCGGAUUUAUUGGGUGUAAAGGGUGCGUAGGCGGGAAGGCAAGUUGAAUGUGAAAUACCGUGGCUUAACUACGGGGCUGCGUUCAAAACUGUUUUUCUUGAGUACAGCAGAGGCAAGCGGAAUUCCCAGUGUAGCGGUAAUAUGCGUAGAUAUUGGGAGGAACACCGGUGGCGAAGGCGGCUUGCUGGGCUGCAACUGACGCUGAAGCACGAAAGUGUGGGGAGCAAAC
rnacentral:rRNA from 1 species